GACGAACGCUGGCGGCGUGCUUAACACAUGCAAGUCGAGCGGUAAGGCCUUUCGGGGGUACACGAGCGGCGAACGGGUGAGUAACACGUGGGUGACCUGCCCUCAGCUCUGGGAUAAGCCUGGGAAACCGGGUCUAAUACCGGAUAUGACUCCAUGACGCAUGUUGUGGGGUGGAAAGCCUUGUGCGGCUGAGGAUGGGCCCGCGGCCUAUCAGCUUGUUGGUGGGGUGAUGGCCUACCAAGGCGACGACGGGUAGCCGGCCUGAGAGGGCGACCGGCCACACUGGGACUGAGACACGGCCCAGACUCCUACGGGAGGCAGCAGUGGGGAAUCUUGCGCAAUGGGCGAAAGCCUGACGCAGCGACGCCGCGUGAGGGAUGACGGCCUGUGUAG
rnacentral:rRNA from 1 species